UAAUUAGGACGUCACAUUUUCAACCAGCUGCCAUAAUAGUAAAGAAUUAAAUUUAUCAAAAAUUAACAUUUCUCAAACGUGUUUGGACUAAAAAUCACUCUAAUGGAUUCUACAGCCUCGAAACUCAAAGAAACCAGCUUCAAAAAAAAAAGUAUUUUAUUUGUUAGAAAAAAAACUGGUCGUCUCAUCUCUCAUCCAAAAUUUCAAUUAUAUUAUUACAACAUUGAACAUAGUACGUAACACAUCAUAAGUGAUUACUAUAAUGUGUUUAGAAUAAUAUAAUAUUUAACAAAUCACUGUGUCCGCGGCUCGUGUACAUUUUUUUCUCAUCAAUUGUUUUAUAAGUUUACAUAACGCCGGAUGCUUAUUAUCAUUUAUAAAUAUUUAAAUUCUACAGCUCUUAGACGUUAGACUCCAGACAUUUAGUUUUUUAAAAAUAAAUUUUGUCUUAUUUUAAUAAUUAUGAGCUUCUAUUUUGUAAUAUAGUUUGUUUGAGAUUUCAUUUAUUAGUUUACCAGCCAGUUUCAAUUUUACUCCAUUAUUUUUUAACAAUAAAAACAUUCAAAUAUGUUCUCAAUAUCUAUAUUACGAAAUACAUACUUAUAUGUGUGUUUUUUAUGCACAUAUAUAAUAUAUAGUAUUAUAAAUGUAUUUUUUAUUAGAUUAUUAACUAUAAUUUUAGAGUUUAUAGUGAUUUCAUAAAUAUUACCUAAAAUCUAUUAAUAUAUAUUAGCAUAGACUUGAUAUUCUCUUAGCCAAUUUUCUGUACUAAUUAAAUUUCUUUUACUUACUGUUACUAAUGCAUUAACUGCGGCGCACACAUGAAAUGAAUAAUAAAGAAAGAGGAGAGAUGAAAAAUCUAUAGAAUUGACCAGUCAGUUAAAACCAGCAAGGUCAUCUUGUUGCUAGUGGUAAUAUAUUUGUAAAUGUAAGUAAUGAGUGUAUUAUAUAUAUAUAUGUCGCAUAUGAGUAUGUUGAGAACCUAGGUAUAUAAGCAGUGGUAGUAAUUUCACCGUAACUUCUUUCUUCGCUAGCCAUCUGACUGAGAAGAGGUUAAGUUUAUUUUUUCUGAAAAACGAAUAACUGAUCACUGACCGCCGAUAUGUCGUACAAAACAAUAUUGCAGAUUUUGUGUUGUUUGUUACUUGCGGUGGUAUUUGUUGCAUCGGUACCAAUUGAUUCGGAUCCAACGGAUACAAGAAAAAGAGAAGACAUUCCGUCAAUUGGUGAUCCAGAUAACUUUUUGAUGUUAAAACUAUUAAAACUUAAGCUUCUCAAAACAGCACUUUUAGGUUAAAAAAUGUAUCAUAUUUUACAUAGACUGAGAUAAUCUUUAGUUAUUUUAAUUUUAUUUUUAAUAAUUCAUUAAAACAUUUUUCAUUAUUACAUCUUUAAUUAUAGUAAUAUACUACAAUCACGUUCAUUUAACAUUUUAUUUUUGUAAGUUUGUAACUGAUUUUUUUUUUACGUUCUAUUGAAUAAUAAUGACAUUGAAAUUACCUAUAAUUAAAUUCUUAUAAAAAUCACAA